UGGGGGAUAUUGCGCAAUGGGCGAAAGCCUGACGCAGCGACGCCGCGUGGGUGAUGAAGGCCUUCGGGUCGUAAAGCCCUGUCGAGGGGGACGAAUCAGCCUCGCCCUAACAUGGCGAGGCCUUGACGGUACCCCUAAAGGAAGCACCGGCUAACUCCGUGCCAGCAGCCGCGGUAAUACGGAGGGUGCAAGCGUUGUUCGGAAUCACUGGGCGUAAAGGGCGUGUAGGCGGUCUGGCAAGUCCGAUGUGAAAUCCCGAGGCUUACCCUCGGAAGUGCAUUGGAUACUGGCGGGCUAGAGUCCCGGAGAGGAGGGUGGAAUUCCUGGUGUAGCGGUGAAAUGCGUAGAUAUCAGGAGGAACACCGGUGGCGAAGGCGGCCCUCUGGACGGUGACUGACGCUGAGACGCGAAAGCGUGGGGAGCAAACAGG
rnacentral:rRNA from 1 species